rnacentral:rRNA from 1 species
CUACGGGCUGCUGCAGUGGGGAAUAUUGCACAAUGGAGGAAACUCUGAUGCAGCAACGCCGCGUGGAGGAUGACACAUUUCGGUGCGUAAACUCCUUUUAUAUGGGAAGAUAAUGACGGUACCAUAUGAAUAAGCACCGGCUAACUCCGUGCCAGCAGCCGCGGUAAUACGGAGGGUGCAAGCGUUACUUGGAAUCACUGGGCGUAAAGCGCGCGCAGGCGGCCUUUUAAGUUGGAUGUGAAAGCCUAUGGCUCAACCAUAGAACUGCAUCCAAAACUAUCAGGCUAGAGUGUGGGAGAGGAAGAUGGAAUUAGUUGUGUAGGGGUAAAAUCCGUAGAGAUAACUAGGAAUACCAAAAGCGAAGGCAAUCUUCUGGAACAUUACUGACGCUGAGGCGCGAAAGCGUGGGGAGCAAACAGGAUUAGAUACCCUUGUAGUC